GCAGAGUAGGGAACCAUGCGUGGGGGUGUCCCCAUAGUGCCUGACCAACGGGGAGUUGUGGCAGGACGAAGUUGACCCAAAGACGGGUCCGCGGUGUGGUUUCCGCAUCCCACUGC
rnacentral:ncRNA from 1 species